rnacentral:rRNA from 1 species
UACGUAGGGUCCGAGCGUUGUCCGGAAUUAUUGGGCGUAAAGGGCUCGUAGGCGGUCCGUCACGUCGGGAGUGAAAACUCAGGGCUCAACCCUGAGCGUGCUUCCGAUACGGGCGGACUAGAGGUAUGCAGGGGAGAACGGAAUUCCUGGUGUAGCGGUGGAAUGCGCAGAUAUCAGGAGGAACACCGGUGGCGAAGGCGGUUCUCUGGGCCUUACCUGACGCUGAGGCGCGAAAGCUAGGGGAGCGAACAGG